ACGCGGACACCAGGGGACAUGCUAGUGUUUUCCUUAGGCUUUUUUUUUUUUUAAGUAAGGGAGCAGAUGUUCGUGAUGCAAAACAUGUUUUGUCCUUUGCAUAUAAAACGCUACUAUGAAUCAAAGGAGAAGGAGACGGGCUUUCACAAAAUAAAUCGCUCUUCGGUAUGAAUCUAACAAGGCAAUUAAUGGGAUGGGGCCGUGGUCAGGAAGAAGGGAAAAGUCACAGAGGAAGGAAGAGAGAGGAAGAAAG